GGCUGCAUACGAUCGUGUGGGGACCAAGGACAGCAUAAUGAUUCGUGUCCCUGACCACACAGUCACUGCCCAUCUGUGUGACAUCACUGGGCCUUUGGCUAUCACAUCUGCAAAUCCAAGUGGUGAACCUGACAGCACACAUCAUGACAUGGUUAUUAAGCGCCUUGGACACAAGAUCCAAGGAGUACUGUGUGAUGGGCAGUCCAAUGAGCUGGUAGGCUCAACUGUGGUCAACUGCCUGAAAAUUGAUGAAGGUACCAUACAUUUCCUGCGAGAAGGUUGUGUCCCUGCAACAAAGGUGCAGCAAAUUUUUGAGAGGGUGAAAAACAGCAUGUUAUAAGAAAUUAAGCUACAGCAUCAAAGCAUACAAACUUUAAUUUAACUACAGUGUAAAAACUAUGGUGAUAAAAAGGCAAAAUGUCUGACAGAUUAUUGGUAAUAAAUUUAAAAGUGA